CCUUUUCGAGCUUUCCCGACGGCUUAUUGACUGAUACAAGAGAUGACCAUCUGGUUGAGACGCGCGCCGAUUACUUCGGAUCGAAAUCUCUCCCGAGGCGCGUUGAUUUUUGGUGAGAUCGCUAACUAGUGAACGAGAAUCCCUCAUCUGAAUCGAAAUUGAGGCUACAUUCUGCGAACGGAAAUAAACUGACUGCCGUUGAACCCAGGCCAGGUUUAGUUGAUUAUAGGCGUGGUCUUUGCGGGUUGACCUUUGCCAAGGUUGGAAGGGUCAAACCCCUGCCCCACCAUAGGGUGUGGGCUGCUGUACCGCACUCAGGGAAUGCGCCUGCACCCAGGAAAUAUUUCCCGCUCUACCAUGGCAGAAUUAAACAUAUGAAUGAAGAUUUUAAAAUAAGUACAAAAAUACAAAUUAUGACUCAGCAUAUAACAGACCAGCUAUUAUUGUGUCAUGCUCGUUCGCCGUAACAAUUUUAGGUACAUGCUUUUCUCAUGACGCAGCCAGUCCUCUUCUUAACGGCAGCAGUAUCAGCGCUCUGGACCUGGAGACAACAACACAAGGGUCUCAUCCCAGUGUGCUGGGCUUCCCAGCACUCACCUGAUGUUCAUCUUGUGGGUGACAAAGCCCAGGUACUGGUCCAGGACAAGGGAGGUGGCCAGAUCAUCAUAGUCUGAGAGUUCCCGGGGUGUCAUGCCACAGCCGGUGCUGGCCACCCCACCACCACGUACCAGCCGUCCACCCUGAGCCACCACCAUCCUGCCGGCCCACCCACACCUAAAAUGAACACAGGCCAUUAGUGAGCUUGCUUGUCUGCAUCAUACAUGUCAAUCUUGUGUUUAAAGAUAGAAAAGUCACGAGAUUUUUACACUGUUAUAUAAUUUUUGAUGGAUUGUUAAAGAAGUAAUUCUAGUUGCUCAAGCUCAACUACAAACAGAACACAUGCAAGACUUAAAGCUAUGUAAAUGCAGUUGUUUGAUGAGACAAACACCACCGAUGCCAAGUAAAUAAUACAAUGUUUGGUAAGAUGACUGCUGAAAACAUCAUGCUGCACUUACUAAGAUAAACACCACUGAUGCCAUAUAACUACUCCUGUGUUUGGUGAGAUGAACACCACCAAUGCCACAUAAAUAAUUCAGUAUUUGGAGAGAUGAACACCACCAAUGCCAUGUAAAUAAUUCAGUGUUUGGCAAGAUGAAUAACAAUGCCAUAAAUACUCCUGUGUUUGGUCAGACAAACACCACUGAUGUUGUGACUAUUUCAGCAUUUCUAUCAUGAGACAAACACCAUUAAUGGCACACAAAUGCUCCUGUGUUUGGUGAAACGAACAUCAAUGACAGCACACAAAUGCCCCAGUGUUUGGUGAAACGAGCAUCAAUGACAGCACACAAAUGCUCCAGUGUUUGGUGAAACGAACAUCAAUGACUUCACACAAAUGCUCCAGUGUUUGGUGAAACGAACAUCAAUGACUUCACACAAAUGCUCCAGUGUUUGGUGAAACGAACAUCAAUGACUUCACACAAAUGUUCCAGUGUUUGGUGAAACGAACAUCAAUGACUUCACACAAAUGCUACUGUGCUUUGCAGGAUGAAUAUCACCAACACCAUACUGACUUUCUAGCACCUGUACAAAUAUUCAUAAUGAUGAGAAAAAACAAAGUUUAAUUUCUACAAGUACUCAACCCUCUCACAACUCCAUCUUAAUAUUCCCAAGUGUUUCGCCAUUCAUCUUACAGUUGAUGGCAAUAUAUUACUGUGUGUCCCUUUGUUACGACAAACUGUUUAAAAACAAAAGGAGCAUCAAGAUACCUCAAAAACCAAAUUGGCUAAUUCUCCAAGGUGUUCAUCAGUUUCUUUUCUUUCUGGAGGGUUCUCAGCAAUCUACUUUUCAUUCUUUUU